CUAUUUUACAUUCUCAACUCAACUAACCAUUACUAAUAUAUUAUCCAAAUUCAACUAUUACCCUAUUUUACCUUAUAAUAACAAUAAACUAAGGAUUAUAAUCAACUUUUUUUAAUAAAGAAAAUAGCAUCAACACUACUAUAAAUAAUUCUUCUUAGCCAUGGAAAAAUUAGACAAACAGUAAGAAUAUAACAAAUUUGAAUUUAAAUACUUGAACAAUCCACUAAAAAA
rnacentral:lncRNA from 1 species